rnacentral:lncRNA from 1 species
CCAAGUCUUAAAAAUGUUUAUUGUUAUUAUUUAUUGAAAGUAUCCGCUGUUUACGAAUUUCUUUCUAAACACCAUGAUUUAUACUAAGGUUUUUUAAAUGUGCAUCAUCCAGGCUAACCCCCCCAAGCCUCAGUCUUAUCCCCACUGGCAGCCGAGGGGACAGAGCCCAGAGGGGCUGAGUGAUUCGCCCGAGGACACACAGCGCUGAGGAGCUGGGUUCCCCAGGGAAGGAAGGACUCCAAGGGCUCUGCCUGUGUCACUCCCACCGCCCAGUGUCCACCAGAGGCAGGAAAACCUCACUUGCAGGCUGCCCCUCAUUUGGCGACUGCCAUCAGCCCGGGCCUGAGGUCACCUCGGUGGCAGAUGCCCUCAGAUGGGGCAGCCUGUUUCCAGCUGUCCAGGGCCCUCACGUCAGCACUGACUGGCCCUUUGUGUCUCUGCAGAGGUGAAGCUGCUGGGUCUGGAGGGCUCCGACAAGCUCUCCAUUCUCCGGGGCUGCCCGGGGCUGCCCGGGGCCACAGGGCCCAAGGGAGAGGCGGGCACCGCAGGAGGGAGAGGAGAACGAGGUCCCUCCGGAGUCCCUGGGAAGGCAGGACCGCCAGGGCCCAAAGGUAACAACCUGAUGGAGAGGAGAGACCCCCAGCCUGGCAAGAGAGAGAGAGGAGAGGGCACUUCUGGGCUGUGACAGGCAUCGUUUCCAGGGAGCCAGACCCUGCCCUCCGGGACGCUCGGCUCAACCUCGGGCUGGGUUGGUGUCAGAGCCCCUGAGGGAGCCAGGGCAGGAUCCUGACCUUGGCCCAGACUGACCCCUGGCCCUGAAGGAACAUGUGGGUGUCUGUGUGCCCCACCAGCUGUCCCCUGCCCCGACCUCACUCCAGCUGAGGGAGGGGUUUGGGGACAAGACAAGCCCUUCUCUGGCUGACCAGGCGUUCGGGCAUGAGCUGUGCCAUCUCCCCGCAUGGGCUGUGCUGACCCUUCUCUCUCCAUAGGAGACCGAGGAGAGAAGGGCGCGCGUGGAGAGAAAGGUAAGCCCGUCCCAACGUCCCGAGGGGGUGACUCGCCGACUCUGAAUAGACAGGGGUACCCAGGGUGU